rnacentral:rRNA from 1 species
CAGUCGCCACGGGAAUACAGAGGGUGCAAGCGUUAAUCGGAAUUACUGGGCGUAAAGCGCGCGUAGGUGGUUCGUUAAGUUGGAUGUGAAAUCCCCGGGCUCAACCUGGGAACUGCAUCCAAAACUGGCGAGCUAGAGUAGGGCAGAGGGUGGUGGAAUUUCCUGUGUAGCGGUGAAAUGCGUAGAUAUAGGAAGGAACACCAGUGGCGAAGGCGACCACCUGGGCUCAUACUGACACUGAGGUGCGAAAGCGUGGGGAGCAAACAGGAUUAGAUACCCCUGUAGUCCCUGUCUCUUAUAC